CACACACACACACGCACACACACACCCUCCGCGAGGACGUCGUAUUUCACUCAGAACUUAACCAACUUUGGAUCGAGGAGGUUAAUUUUUCCUCCACUCUAGCCGACUCUCAUCCGUUAGGAUUCCGUGAAGGAUCAUGAGGAAAAGAGGACAGACUUAGGACCUGCACGCGUUCUUCCCCGCAUUUAAUGUGAACCAGCUGCAGAACGCAUACCAGCUAAACCAGUGCCAUCAAACUCACAGCACACAUAAACCGACCUGAGAUCUGAGAUGACCUGAGAUCCGUAAGAGAUCACAGCCCCAACCCAUCCUGAAGUUCAGGGAUCACAAAACAACACAUUAUACAUCCAAGGUUCAGCUGCCCUACCAAACAACUCCUGGGCAGAUCCCCCGCAAGUUAAAGAUAGAGAGAUGCCGAAGGGAGUACUUGAAGUUCAACUUGGAACAGCAUGUUCCAGUCACCUCAUGAGCAGCAACGAGCCUGUGACUACACCAGACCAUUCUGUGUCACCCAUAGACUGUAAAUAUUGUUUUCACCUUACCUCCCCCUAGAGGUCAGUCUGUGUUGCCCUUAUGGUAUUCGUUACGUUUUUAGACGUAGCUUUUGUGACACGGGCCCUUUCCGAAUUGUCACAGUUCAGUAGGCAGUACGUACUAUUCAGUAGGGAGUUUCAGUAUACUGAACUUUUGUGGUCAUUCAGUAUGCAUAUUUUGGGUCCACUUCAGUAUACUGAACAUUUCAGUAUGGAUACUAACUUCCUUUCAGCCCCUGGGCUCAGGCAAGAAAUGUGAGUAUAAGUGUUUAAGUGCUUCUGCUGUCAUUCUCUCCUCAUUCAGUUUAAUAUCAGUCCAUCUGAGUUGAAAUGUAAACCAACUACUCGGUUGAAUAAUUGACAUGUCAUGUGUGCAGUGUGGAAAAGUGUUUAUGCGACCUGGAGAAGGAGGUCAAGCUAGAUUAUGACCAAACAAUGAAUGGCAUGAUCUUUGACAAAGUUGUUCAGAGCCAUCCAGAGGAUUUUUCACACAUCAAAUUGCCACAGAAGGACCCCGAGUCUGUACCCCAAAGUGGUAAGGCUGUUAGUCUUGAAUCCAUUACUUUGAGUUAAUAUUAAACAAAUGAAUUACCACCAAAUACAAUUGUUAACAUUGUUUCGUAUUUUUCUUUGCACAGGUUGCGUUCCAGUACCUUACUUUGACUAUAAGAGAAAACAAGCUGCUUUUGUCUUCCAUUCCCUGCUAACAAAGCCUGAGGUGAUCUGUGUGUUAUCUAUAAUAUGGC